rnacentral:antisense_RNA from 1 species
CACUUCUCCCACUGACAGUACCUGCUAAGAAUUAGCAUCCAGCUCAAAAUGCAUAUCUAUCUGCUGAAGUCCAACAUCACCAUCAGCUCCACCCAGAGGAUCUCACAGUAAAACCACAGGAACCAGAGAGCGAUAUGACAUCUCUGCUGACGUGAACACAACAGGAGGCUCUCCUCCCCUCCUCUACCUCCCCAGGCAGUGACCUUGCAAGUUCAUCAGCACAGACUGGUCCAGCGUACGGGAGAACUGGAGCAAGGAGGCUGGCAGCUGGCAGGGUUGGGGUAGAGGGGAGGGCAGGGAAAGGUGGAAGGAAGAAGGUAGAUACACGAGGAUGGGGAGGAGAGCGACUGCAGAAAGAUGAAAUGGUGUUCUCUCUCCAGCAAGUCAAUUUUGAAACAUCAAGAUAAAAAAAAAAAAAUUCUUGAGAA